rnacentral:lncRNA from 1 species
GUUAGUUGGUUAAUGUAAUGAUCUAGAGCAUGUUCGGCUCACGAUCAGAAUGAGAAAUGAAAUUGAAUUGUAUCAGAAUGGAAAAUAAGAAGAUAAACUGGUCGAAAAUAUUUGGUAUAUUAUUGAAAUAAAAAUCAGAACGGACAAUCGAAACACUUAGAAAUCUAAAAGAAGAUUUUAGUUAAGAGAGAGAAGAGUAAUGAAGGAAGAGAAAAGGCACGUGCUUGUUAGAAAUAGUUUUGAGCGGCAUAUUCUGAAAUAAACAAAUUCAGGAUUUAAAAUCGAAUUAAGCCAUAAAUGGAUUAGAUCAUUUUCAUUCAAGUGUAGUAUACAAAUCGAAAUCCGAUAUCUGUAAAAUAAACAACGAUUAUCAAAAUCAAUAAAACUUAUUUCGAUUUUAGAGUCUAAAGUAGGUGAAUCAAACAAAGCCCCUAAAAUAUUUGUUUAUAUACGCU